ACGGUCAGAUUGAAAGAAUCUCAUGGAGCAGCUCUGCGAGGGGAAGCUGGCUUGUUUCACUUCGUGACGUGUCAGGAGGAUGCAAAUGAUAGACCAUACUGGGGCUGAGCACAAGGCCUGGGCAAAGCAUAAAAUAGCCUUUGCUAAACUGCCCCCUGGAUCUCGGUAGAUGCGCUGAAAAGUGUGGAUGAGAACCUCAGGCAGGAGCUGCUUUACUGCCACAUUCUUCCAGGGCAGAGAGGGGCUGAGGAGAAGGUACAAAUUAGGCUCCACACUAGAACCUUUUGAGCCUGAUGGCAAACUUCAACUAGCUGUGAGAGCUGGAUGAAAGAUAACCAUGUUCCUAAAGGUUUUGUGUAUAUUAGUAUUGCUUACACUGUAGUAACCUUGUGAGCUUAACAGGUUUAUGCUGCAUCUAGCUUAGGGCUGGUCUGUCACCAUGCCAGUUAGUGCCUCAUCAGGCAGCAAUGCAUCUUUUGGGAUCAGCAACAGUAGAAACCUGUUGAUCUGUUCAACAGUGAUGCAGUAUGAGUAAUGUGAUGUGGUGGAUAUAGAGAAAUUGGGCAGGGAGGAAAGAUGGUGUGGUGGUGGUAAGGGUUUUCACAGAGAUGUGAGACGCACACAUAAGUGACUUCGUUCUGAUGGACCCAUGGUACGUGGGACAACCUGCUUUGCCCCAGAUAUAAUAUUGCAAAUAGCUUUCAAAAUGUAAAACAGCAUAUAUAAGAAGUAUUUGUGAAUAUCUGCAACAAAUGCAUAACUUGUUUUCCCAGGUGUUGCUCUUGUUUUCUAUUACCACCUCUUCCAAAGCCCCUUUCCAUAUAGAUUAAUGUCACUGACUGAGGUUAUCCAAAACAAGAGUGAACUCUGAUAUGAGCAUAACAGCAGCAAAAAAAAGACCAAAAAGGUAUUGGAUUUAGGGGCUUCUUGGUGACACAGCAAAGCUAGUUAGAAACUCUUAAGGGCGCUUCAGAAAUCUGCAGUAUCAGAGAAUGCAUUAGGUAACAACUGCCUAUAUGGUAAAUAGAGGGAGCUCAGCUCCUCAUUAUUAAGCUGGACAAUAGCCGGUGCUAAAACUUGCAGAGCUGCUUUCCUCAGCAACUGAGCGAAGAACAUAAGAAAAAUGGAUAGUCAUCAGUUCUCAAAGGCUACUUUUUUGAGAUCAGAACUAGAGCACUGGAGUCAGCUUUGGAUUCAAGAAGUUUCUUUCUGCCUACAUUUUCCUACAUUCACGGACUGGGGUUGAAGUUCUACAUCAAGCUCUUUUCUCAUUUUUCAAGCUUAAAAAGAUGACAGCUGAAUCUGGACCUACUGCAGCAUUGCACACUGUGGUCUAAUUGCCUCAUGUCUAAUUUGUUCCUUCUGAGACAACUGUAAAAAUAAAUAGUUUUAAUAAUUUUAAUCAAAUCCUUUUCAAUACAGUCAGAUGAAUAAAACUAUUAACAAAUU
ensembl:lncRNA